UACGUAGGGUGCAAGCGUUGUCCGGAAUUAUUGGGCGUAAAGAGCUCGUAGGCGGUCUGUCGCGUCUGCUGUGAAAACUCGGGGCUUAACCCCGGGCCUGCAGUGGGUACGGGCAGACUAGAGUGCGGUAGGGGAGACUGGAAUUCCUGGUGUAGCGGUGAAAUGCGCAGAUAUCAGGAAGAGCACCGGUGGCGAAGGCGGCCUGCUGGGCAGUUUAGCUGACACUGAGGCGCGACAGCGUGGGGAGCAAACAGG
rnacentral:rRNA from 1 species